AGAAAUAUGUUGACAGAAGAGAGGGAGCACAACCCAGCAUCAGCUAAAGACUCUUUGCUUUUCUUGGGAGUGUGCUCUCUCUUCUUCUGUCAUCAUCACACUCC